rnacentral:ncRNA from 17 species
ACCAAUUGAACAAACACGGAUCUGUGUCCAGCGAUCCUGAGCAUGGAACUGUUUCUCUUCACGGAGGGGCUGCUUCUGUGUCUCGGUUGAUUGCUGGACAGUUCGACGACUUAAGGAGCCAUUCCCUUGUGGAUGGUUUUUAUUUCCGGUCGACAGAUCUCAGAUCGAAUGCUGGCAUUAGGAUUACUUGGUCUUGAGCUCCCGAUAGGUGAGCUCGGCUUGAGGGCCUAGUAGCCAGCGGCGUCAUAUUCCUGAUCCCUUUACCGAUUUGGCCGUCGGCUUGUGAGGUUAGGGAAAAACCAUGACUAGCCAACAUAU